CCCACUGAUUUAUAUUAAAGGGCUGCAGUAUUAUGACUGUACAAAGGUAGCAUAAUCAUUAGUUUUUUAAUUGGAAACUUGUAUGAAAGAUUUAAUGAAAUAUUAACUGUCUCUUAUUUUUUAUUAGAAUUUUAUUUUUUAGUAAAAAAGCUAAAAUAAUUUUAAAAGACGAGAAGACCCUAUAGAGUUUUAUAUUUAAUUUUAUUUUAAAUUUAUAUAAAAAUUAAUAUUAAAAUAAAAUUAAAUAUUAUAUUGGGGUGAUAGAAAAAUAAAAAUAACUUUUUUUAACAAUAAACAUAAAUAAAUGAUUAAAUGAUCCAUUAUUGAUGAUUAUAAGAAAAAAUUACCUUAGGGAUAACAGCGUAAUAUUUUUUUUUAGUUCAAAUAAAAAAAAAAGUUUGCGACCUCGAUGUUGGAUUAAGAUAAAAUUUAGAUGCAAAAGUUUAAAAUUU
rnacentral:rRNA from 1 species